rnacentral:rRNA from 1 species
CUGGCUCAGGACGAACGCUGGCGGCGUGCUUAACACAUGCAAGUUGAACGGGACGGAUAUUGAAGCGACUUUCGGAGUGGUGGAUAUAUUGUUUAGUAGCGGACGGGUGAGUAAUGCAUGAGAACCUGCCCUUCAGAGGGGGACAACAGUUGGAAACGGCUGCUAAUACCCCCAUAUGCCGAGAGGUGAAAGGAGCGAUCCGCUGAAGGAGAGGCUCAUGUCCUAUCAGCUAGUUGGUGAGGUAAGUGCUCACCAAGGCGAUGACGGGUAGCCGGCCUGAGAGGGCGACCGGCCACACUGGAACUGAGAUACGGUCCAGACUCCUACGGGAGGCAGCAGUGGGGAAUAUUGGGCAAUGGGCGGGAAACGCCUGACCCAGCGACGCCGCGUGAGGGAAGAAGGCCUUUGGGUCGUAAACCUCUGUUGUAUGGGAAGAAGGAAGUGACGGUACCAUACGAGGAAGUCCCGGCUAACUACGUGCCAGCCGCCGC